AUUGAACGCUGGCGGCAGGCCUAACACAUGCAAGUCGAACGGUAGCACAGAGAGCUUGCUCUCGGGUGACGAGUGGCGGACGGGUGAGUAAUGUCUGGGAAACUGCCCGAUGGAGGGGGAUAACUACUGGAAACGGUAGCUAAUACCGCAUAAUGUCGCAAGACCAAAGAGGGGGACCUUCGGGCCUCUUGCCAUCGGAUGUGCCCAGAUGGGAUUAGCUAGUUGGUGAGGUAAUGGCUCACCAAGGCGACGAUCCCUAGCUGGUCUGAGAGGAUGACCAGCCACACUGGAACUGAGACACGGUCCAGACUCCUACGGGAGGCAGCAGUGGGGAAUAUUGCACAAUGGGCGAAAGCCUGAUGCAGCCAUGCCGCGUGUGUGAAGAAGGCCUUCGGGUUGUAAAGCACUUUCAGCGGGGAGGAAGGCAAUACGGUUAAUAACCGUGUUGAUUGACGUUACCCGAAGAAGAAGCACCGGCUAACUCCGUG
rnacentral:rRNA from 1 species